GUAGCGGCGAGCGAAACGGGAAGAGCCCAAACCAACAAGCUUGCUUGUUGGGGUUGUAGGACACUCUAUACGGAGUUACAAAGGACGACAUUAGACGAAUCAUCUGGAAAGAUGAAUCAAAGAAGGUAAUAAUCCUGUAGUCGAAAAUGUUGUCUCUCUUGAGUGGAUCCUGAGUACGACGGAGCACGUGAAAUUCCGUCGGAAUCUGGGAGGACCAUCUCCUAAGGCUAAAUACUCUCUAGUGACCGAUAGUGAACCAGUACCGUGAGGGAAAGGUGAAAAGCACCCCGGAAGGGGAGUGAAAUAGAACCUGAAACCGUGUGCUUACAAGUAGUCAGAGCCCGUUAAUGGGUGAUGGCGUGCCUUUUGUAGAAUGAACCGGCGAGUUACGAUUUGAUGCAAGGUUAAGCAGUAAAUGUGGAGCCGUAGCGAAAGCGAGUCUGAAUAGGGCGUUUAGUAUUUGGUCGUAGACCCGAAACCAGGUGAUCUACCCUUGGUCAGGUUGAAGUUCAGGUAACACUGAAUGGAGGACCGAACCGACUUACGUUGAAAAGUGAGCGGAUGAACUGAGGGUAGCGGAGAAAUUCCAAUCGAACCUGGAGAUAGCUGGUUCUCUCCGAAAUAGCUUUAGGGCUAGCCUCAAGUGAUGAUUAUUGGAGGUAGAGCACUGUUUGGACGAGGGGCCCCUCUCGGGUUACCGAAUUCAGACAAACUCCGAAUGCCAAUUAAUUUAACUUGGGAGUCAGAACAUGGGUGAUAAGGUCCGUGUUCGAAAGGGAAACAGCCCAGACCACCAGCUAAGGUCCCAAAAUAUAUGUUAAGUGGAAAAGGAUGUGGCGUUGCCCAGACAACUAGGAUGUUGGCUUAGAAGCAGCCAUCAUUUAAAGAGUGCGUAAUAGCUCACUAGUCGAGUGACACUGCGCCGAAAAUGUACCGGGGCUAAACAUAUUACCGAAGCUGUGGAUUGUCCUUUGGACAAUGGUAGGAGAGCGUUCUAAGGGCGUUGAAGCAUGAUCGUAAGGACAUGUGGAGCGCUUAGAAGUGAGAAUGCCGGUGUGAGUAGCGAAAGACGGGUGAGAAUCCCGUCCACCGAUUGACUAAGGUUUCCAGAGGAAGGCUCGUCCGCUCUGGGUUAGUCGGGUCCUAAGCUGAGGCCGACAGGCGUAGGCGAUGGAUAACAGGUUGAUAUUCCUGUACCACCUAUAAUCGUUUUAAUCGAUGGGGGGACGCAGUAGGAUAGGCGAAGCGUGCGAUUGGAUUGCACGUCUAAGCAGUAAGGCUGAGUAUUAGGCAAAUCCGGUACUCGUUAAGGCUGAGC
rnacentral:rRNA from 1 species